rnacentral:rRNA from 1 species
AGUGAACGCUGGCGGCAGGCCUAACACAUGCAAGUCGAACGGCAGCACAGUAUGAGUUUGCGCUUACGGGCGGCGAGUGGCGGACGGGUGAGGAAUACGCCGAAGUCUACUUUUUCGUGGGUGAUAAUGUAGGGAAAGUUACGCUAACACCGCAUCCGACCUACGGGUAAAAGCAGGGGAUCUUCGGACCUUGCGCGCUUGUAUGAGCCGAUGUCGGAUUAGCUAGUUGGCGGGGCAAACGCCCACCAAGGCGACGACCCGUAUCUGGUCUGAGAGUAUGCACAGCCACACUGGAACUGAGACACCGUCCACACUCCUACGGGAGGCAGCAGUGGGGAAUAUUGCACCAUGGGCGCAAGCCUGAUCCAGCCAUACCGCGUGGGUGAAGAAGGCCUUCGGGUUGUAGAGCCCUUUAGUUGGGAAGGAAGGGCAGCAGGUUAAUACCCCGCCGUUCUGACGGUACCCGGAGAAUAAGCACCGGCUAACUUCGUG